UUCGUAGGGUGCAAGCGUUGUCCGGAAUUAUUGGGCGUAAAGAGCUCGUAGGCGGUCUGUCACGUCGGCUGUGAAAUCCCGAGGCUCAACCUCGGGUCUGCAGUCGAUACGGGCAAACUAGAGUAUUGCAGGGGAGACUGGAAUUCCUGGUGUAGCGGUGAAAUGCGCAGAUAUCAGGAGGAACACCGGUGGCGAAGGCGGGUCUCUGGGCCGUUACUGACGCUGAGGAGCGAAAGCGUGGGGAGCGAACAGG
rnacentral:rRNA from 1 species